rnacentral:rRNA from 1 species
AAGUUAGAGGUGAAAUCCCAGGGCUCAACCCUCGGAACUGCCUUUAAAACUGUUAGUCUUGAGUUCGAGAGAGGUGAGUGGAAUUCCAAGUGUAGAGGUGAAAUUCGUAGAUAUUUGGAGGAACACCAGUGGCGAAGGCGGCUCACUGGCUCGAUACUGAC